rnacentral:rRNA from 1 species
AGCCUUAGGAAAUAAUCUAAGGUUGUACCUGCCCAAUGUGAAAAUAUAAUUAAUGGCCGCGGUACUUUGACCGUGCUAAGGUAGCGCAAUCAAUUGGCUCUUAAUUGGGGUCAGGAAUGAAUGGAGUUUACGUGGUUCAGCUGUCUUUUAAUUAAUACAUUGAAGUUACUAUAUAAGUGAAAAAGCUUAUUAAUAGAAAAAGGACGAGAAGACCCUUAGAGUUUUACUUAAUGUGAAUAAUAAUAUAUUUUGAUUCACAAUGGUUUUGUUGGGGCAACAUAGGAGCAAUAAUUUGAUAAUCUCUUAAAUUUAACUUACCGAAUUAUUAAAUUUGAAUAAACUACCUUAGGGAUAACAGCAUAAUUUUAAAAAUAAGUUUGUGACCUCGAUGUUGGACUAGGAAACUUAAAGGCUAGCCGUCUUUAGGGAAAGUUCUGUUCGAACUAUUAUUCCU